rnacentral:rRNA from 1 species
UACAGAGGUCCCAAGCGUUACUGAGAAUCACUGGGUUUAAAGGGUGCGUAGGUGGUCCGUUAAGUUCGUUGUGAAAUCCCCGGGCUCAACCUGGGAACUGCAUUUGUGACUGCACGGCUGGAGUGCGGCAGAGGGGGAUGGAAUUCCGCGUGUAGCAGUGAAAUGCGUAGAUAUGCGGAGGAACACCGAUGGCGAAGGCAAUCCCCUGGGCCUGCACUGACGCUCAUGCACGAAAGCGUGGGGAGCAAACAGG